UACGUAGGGGGCAAGCGUUGUCCGGAAUCAUUGGGCGUAAAGAGCGUGUAGGCGGCCCGAUAAGUCCGCUGUGAAAUCCCAAGGCUCAACCUUGGAACUGCCUUUGAUACUGGGGAUCUCGAGUCCGGAAGAGGUUGGUGGAACUCCGAGUGUAGAGGUGAAAUUCGUAGAUAUUCGGAAGAACACCAGUGGCGAAGGCGGCCAACUGGUCCGGCACUGACGCUGAGGUGCGAAAGCGUGGGGAGCAAACAGG
rnacentral:rRNA from 1 species